rnacentral:rRNA from 1 species
UACAGAGGGUGCAAGCGUUGUUCGGAAUUAUUGGGCGUAAAGCGCGUGUAGGCGGCCGUGCAAGUCGGGUGUGAAAGCCCUCGGCUCAACCGAGGAAGUGCGCCCGAAACUGCAUGGCUUGAGUACCGGAGAGGAUGGCGGAAUUCCCCAAGUAGAGGUGAAAUUCGUAGAUAUGGGGAGGAACACCGGUGGCGAAGGCGGGUCUCUGGGCCGAUACUGACGGCUGAGGAGCGAAAGCGUGGGGAGCGAACAGG